UUUAUAUCCCUGUGAGUUUAACACUUCAUGACUGAGAGCUGUCCUUCAUGACAACAGAACCCACAACAACCAUGACUUUUAUCACCAUCUUCAUCUGGACACUUUCUUUCUACAUCAAGGAAUCUAGAGGACAGAUCACUGUGACUCAGACUCCUACAGUGAAAGCUGUUCUCCCAGGACAGACAGUCUCUCUGAACUGUAAAACCAGCAGUGAUGUGUAUCCUAACUGUGGUUCAUCUAUGCCCUGUAUGGCCUGGUACCAACAGAAACCUGGAUCCAUUCCCAAACUCCUUGUUUAUCAAGGAAGUACUCUUAACUCUGGGUCUCCAGCUAAAUUCAGUGGCAGUGGUUCUGGGAGUGACUUCACUGUGACCAUCAGUGGAGUCCAGGCUGAAGAUGCAGGAGAUUACUACUGUCAGAGUUUACACUACCCCAACAGUGUCUGGGUGUUCACACAGUGAUACAGAGCCGUACAAAAACCUCCCUCAGUCAGACUGUACAGUGACUGUACUGCUACAACUGGGACCUACUGCAGGUGCUGAGGGGGAAGAGACAGUGACUUGGAACACUGACUGAACUAAAAUACACUGAGCUAAAUAUAACAGUGAUGCUGACAAUAUGUCAACUCUUCCACCCUCAUGUUAAAUCAUUCCUGAACUGAUAACACCCACAGAUCCAGGUGACAUAAAUAUUACUUCCCUGCUGCUAUGUCCAAUAAACCUUUUCAUAACA